ACAUGGGGAAAGGGUAGUGCCUGCCAGCCAAUGCCAUAGUGACAGACAACUCUUUCAAAAAGAAAAGAACUUGGCUUUUGGUUUUGGGUACUAGUGACUGGUGUCUGGUGAUAGAAGAAGAAAGGAGCAAAACGGUAAAAGAGGAAGAAGAAGGAAAACGCAGAUGGGGAAAAAGAAGAAAAGAUUGUAUUGCUUGUAUCUUUACAAGAGAUGAUCUAUAUCUUUUCAAGAGAUGAUUUCAACAUCUAUCAUAACCGUGGUUUUUUGACACAACAAUAAAAUUACUCAUCUCCACCUUGGCCACGCUCAUGCCUCUUAAACAAUGAGGCCCGAAUCCAAUUUUCAUUUAAAAUCCAAACAACUUUACUUGCUACUUAGACACAAAAUCAAACAUAUUACGCCCAAAGUCUGUACACACCCCUUCGCAGCUUUUUGACACCCAAUUUGUGAGUCCCGUGCGGUGCGGUAGGGACACGCAUUGACUCACGUUUCCAAGUUUGCUUAAUAGCUUGGGCCUGUUUUUGAGCCCAUGAAAGAAAAUGAGUCCAUAUUCGAUCAUAUAAGCAGCAUUUUUAGGUUAAAGUGCUUUACAAUUUUUGUUGAGAGAAAGGAAGCGGCGGCAGCCUAUGAUGUGGAGAAAUGCGUGUCCAUCUUUACCCACCAGAUCUAUGUAUGUUCCUACUUGUUCUGCUAGUACUACUUGUACAAAUUUUGCUAUUGCUAGUAGUUAUAAUGUCGAAAACCCAGAUCCGUUCAUGAAUUAUGUGAGAAUUCGAUACAGAGACUUUGAUCAUGGUUUGGAUCCGUUUGAUAAACGGCUUCAUCUGAACCUUUUGCCUGCAAUUAUAGAUUUCAUUAGUUUAUAUUUUGCAAUUGCAGCAAUAAAGUAUUAUUCGACCGUGAUUACUUUGUAUAAAGAUUUGAAUCUUAAAUGUUGCCUUCAACUUAUUUUUUUCAAAUGUGCUGAUUAAUUGCUUCUGCCAUUUGAAAUAGAUUAGUUGUUGCUUUCUGUCUUGGUAAAUAUCAUGUCAAGCUUUUCUCCUAAGUUUUGGUUGCUUAGGAGGAUGGAAGAUGAUAAACUGUUGAUGUUAUGUUUUGAUAUAUAACGUUAUCAUUGACAGUUUAUGUAAGGAUAUUAUCAUUGACAGUUUAUGUAAGGAAAGAUCCAAAAAGUAAAAAAAAAUUUGGAUUUGAAAACCAAGAAAAAUAACUAUUAGAUUAUGUCUUUUCUUGAAAAAAGGAUUUGGAAGCCAAGAAAAAAAAGAAAAGAAAGAGAUUUGCAAGCAAGUAGACGAAAAGAAGAAUGAGGGUGUAUGGAUUUGCAUGCAGAAGAAAAGAAGAAUGAGGGUCUAUGGAUUUGCAUAGAAGAAAUUAUGAUGCUAGUUGAUGAUAAUUGUUUAUAAAAUUGUAAUAAAAAUAUUUAGUUUGAUCUAUGAAAGUGUUCUUCUCUUAUUUUCCAAGUUUCAUGAUUUGUUCAUUGUAAGACAAAGAAUUAAUGAGAAAAUUAGGGUCCUUUUGGUAAA